AUUGAACGCUGGCGGCAGGCCUAACACAUGCAAGUCGAGCGAGCGGCGGACGGGUGAGUAAUGUAUGGGGACUGCCCGAUAGAGGGGGAUAACUACUGGAAACGGUGGCUAAUCCCGCAUACUCUCGUAUAACCCAUAUGGGCUUACUUAGUAGGUGGGGUAAAGGCUCACCUAGGUGACGAUCUCUAGCGGGUCUGAGGGGAUGAUCAGCCACACUGGGACUGAGACACGGCCCAGACUCCUACGGAGGCAGCAGUGGGGAAUAUUGCACAAUGUGCUCAAGCCGGAUGCAGCCAUGCCGCGUGUAUGAAGAAGGCCUUAGGGUUGUAAAGUACUUUCAGCGGGGAGGCGUUACCCGCAGAAGAAGCACCGGCUAACUCCGUGCCAGCCGCCGCGGUAAUUC
rnacentral:rRNA from 1 species